UGUUAAUGUUGUGUUCAUGUGCUUGGCUGAUAGCUUUAAAGAAGGAAUUAACGAAAAACUAACGGUGGCUAUAACGGAAGUAAGGAAGUCGCAUUACGUAGAGUCCUUCCUCACUCUAUACACGCUGUCGGCGUAACUCACUCACUGGGCCACGAGUGUGGCAGUACUGGCUAUCGACUACGAUCUCACAACUACUGUCCCACAGUUUACUACAGAUGUUGCCUGACUUGAAAUCGGUUCAUCAUGAAGAGUAACUGUGUUCUAGUGCCGUUAGCGAUCACCAAUACAGUUGUGAUUCUGAUCCUAAAUGGUGUACCAUUGGUUUCAGGCCAGUGUUCUGAAAACAAGUACGGACCAGAUUGUAGCUAUGACUGUCACUGUGCGCAAGAUGUGACCUGUGACUCUCAGGUCGGGUGUGGCGGAAAGUGUUCUCUUGGCUGGGACGGGCCCUCAUGUCAGAGACAGAAUGUCGCUCUGAACAGACGAACAAGGCAGUCGUCAAACUACGGGGGCUAUUUCUCCAAAUAUGCCGUGGAUGGCAAAGUGGGACAUUCUUUGUGGGAUACACCUUGCACACACACAGACCAUACAAGCAGUUCACAGUCCUGGGUCGUUGUACUUGAUCAUGUAUACCGGAUAAACAGAUUUACUAUAUA